rnacentral:rRNA from 1 species
UACAGAGGAGCCAAGCGUUGUCCGGAAUCACUGGGCGUAAAGGGCGCGUAGGCGGCCUGAUAAGUAGGGGGUGAAAUCCUGCGGCUUAACCGCAGGGCUGCCUUCUAAACUGUCAGGCUAGAGCACGGUAGAGGCAGAUGGAAUUCCCGGUGCAGCGGUGGAAUGCGUAGAGAUCGGGAAGAACAUCAGUGGCGAAGGCGGUCUGCUGGGCCGUUGCUGACGCUGAGGCGCGACAGCGUGGGGAGCAAACAGG